CUAAGUUCCUUGGAACAGGACGUCGCAGAGGGUGAGAAUCCCGUAUGUGGUCGCUUGUCCGUGCCGUGUAAAGCCCCUUCGACGAGUCGAGUUGUUUGGGAAUGCAGCUCUAAAUGGGAGGUAAAUUUCUUCUAAAGCUAAACAUUGGCCAGAGACCGAUAGCGCACAAGUAGAGUGAUCGAAAGAUGAAAAGCACUUUGGAAAGAGAGUCAAAAAGCACGUGAAAUUGUUGAAAGGGAAGCGCUUGCAGCCAGACGUGCUCGUAGUUGCUCAUCUGGGGGUUUCCCCCGGUGCACUCUUCUGCGGGCAGGCCAGCAUCAGUUUUGGCGGUCGGAGAAAGGCUCAUGUCACGUAGCUCCUUUCGGGGAGUGUUAUAGGGUGAGCGGAAUACGACCAGCUGGAACUGAGGUCCGCGCAUCUGCUAGGAUGCUGGCGUAAUGGCUGUAAGCGGCCCGUCUUGAAACACGGACCAAGGAGUCUAACAUCUAUGCGAGUGUUUGGGUGCAAAGCCCGGGCGCGUAAUGAAAGUGAACGGAGGUGGGAACCCUUUGGGUGCACCAUCGACCGAUCCUGAUGUCUUCGG
rnacentral:rRNA from 1 species